rnacentral:rRNA from 1 species
ACAGCAGUAGCCACGGUAAUACGGAGGAUCCGAGCGUUAUCCGGAAUUAUUGGGUUUAAAGGGUGCGUAGGCGGAUAGAUAAGUCAGUGGUGAAAGACGGUGGCUCAACCAUCGCAGUGCCGUUGAUACUGUUUAUCUUGAAUAUGGAUGAGGUAGGCGGAAUGUGGCAAGUAGCGGUGAAAUGCAUAGAUAUGCCACAGAACACCGAUUGCGAAGGCAGCUUACCAAGGCAAAAUUGACGCUGAGGCACGAAAGCGUGGGGAUCGAACAGGAUUAGAUACCCGUGUAGUCCCUGUCUCUUAUAC